AUUGAACGCUGGCGGCAUGCCUUACACAUGCAAGUCGAACGGCAGCACGGGGCAACCUGGUGGCGAGUGGCGAACGGGUGAGUAAUGCAUCGGAACGUACCUUUCAGUGGGGGAUAACGUAGCGAAAGUUAUGCUAAUACCGCAUAUUCUAUGAGCAGGAAAGCAGGGGAUCGCAAGACCUUGCGCUGAUUGAGCGGCCGAUGUCAGAUUAGCUAGUUGGUGAGGUAAAGGCUCACCAAGGCGACGAUCUGUAGCGGGUCUGAGAGGAUGAUCCGCCACACUGGAACUGAGACACGGUCCAGACUCCUACGGGAGGCAGCAGUGGGGAAUUUUGGACAAUGGGGGCAACCCUGAUCCAGCCAUGCCGCGUGAGUGAAGAAGGCCUUCGGGUUGUAAAGCUCUUUCGGCCGGGAAGAAAUCGCACGGGCUAAUACCCUGUGUGGAUGACGGUACCGGAAUAAGAAGCACCGGCUAACUACGUGCCAGCCGCCGCGGUAAUAC
rnacentral:rRNA from 1 species